rnacentral:rRNA from 1 species
AGAGUUUGAUUAUGGCUCAGGACGAACGCUGGCGGCAUGCCUAACACAUGCAAGUCGAACGGAGUAAUGACUUCGGUUAUUACUUAGUGGCGAACGGGUGAGUAACACGUGAAUAAUCUGCCCUGUACGAUGGGAUAACAGCUGGAAACGGCUGCUAAUACCGUAUAUGACCACGCCGAGGCAUCUCGGAGGGGUGAAAGCGCUUAAGCGGUACAGGAUGAGUUCGCGUCCAAUUAGCUAGUUGGUGAGGUAACGGCCCACCAAGGCGACGAUUGGUAGCCGACCUGAGAGGGUGAUCGGCCACACUGGAACUGAGACACGGUCCAGACUCCUACGGGAGGCAGCAGUGGGGAAUAUUGGGCAAUGGAGGAAACUCUUUAACCCCCAGCAAUGCCGCGUGAGUGAUGAAGGUCUUCGGAUUGUAAAGCUCUUUGAUUGGGGACGAAUAAAUGACGGUACCCAAGGAACAAGCCCCGGCUAACUAUGUGCCAGCCGCUGC